UACGAAGGGGGCUAGCGUUGCUCGGAUUUAUUGGGCGUAAAGAGCGUGUAGGCGGCCAGGUAGGUCUGGUGUGAAAACUCGAGGCUUAACCUCGAGAUGUCAUCGGAAACCAUCUGGCUAGAGUCCGGAAGAGGAGAGUGGAAUUCCUGGUGUAGCGGUGAAAUGCGCAGAUAUCAGGAAGAACACCAAUGGCGAAAGCAGCUCUCUGGGACGGUACUGACGCUGAGACGCGAAAGCGUGGGGAGCGAACAGG
rnacentral:rRNA from 1 species